UGCCAUGGUAACCAGCAGACAGACCUGAGAGAAGCAAGGCUGCAGAGAAACUGUAGCCAUCACCAAACAACAAAUCAAAGGGAAGUGUCUCAGGAGAGAUUUCUAAUUAUCAUACAUUUGUCCUUGCAGCCAAACCAGGAUGCAGUGGAAAUGGUGCCUUUGGCACUAGCAUCUUAGGUCACAAAAUCAGACUGAAAUUGAUGCUCUGUUCUAGUUGUCUUGAAAUUCUUACUAACUUUUGAACGUGGAACCCUACAUCUUCGUUUUGUACUGGUCCCCACAUAUUUUAUAGCUGAUCUGAAGGAGGAGAGAGAGAUGAUGGGGGAUGAAGGGUAUGGAAUUGUAUGCUAUGGCUGCCUGCUGUCGAAGUUCUCCAGGUCCAGAGAGGAUUUAAGUUGCUGGAAUAAUCCACCCAGUCUUCGAGAUGUGAUUAUAUAAUUGAUGGUAUGUGGAUAUCACUGAUCACAAAACACAAUAAAGGACCUAAGGCAACAUCUUUGUUCUUUCUC
rnacentral:lncRNA from 1 species